rnacentral:rRNA from 1 species
GAUGAACGCUGGCGGCGUGCCUAAUACAUGCAAGUCGAGCGAACAGACGAGGAGCUUGCUCCUCUGACGUUAGCGGCGGACGGGUGAGUAACACGUGGAUAACCUACCUAUAAGACUGGGAUAACUUCGGGAAACCGGAGAUAAUACCGGAUAAUAUAUUGAACCGCAUGGUUCAAUAGUGAAAGACGGUUUUGCUGUCACUUAUAGAUGGAUCCGCGCCGCAUUAGCUAGUUGGUAAGGUAACGGCUUACCAAGGCGACGAUGCGUAGCCGACCUGAGAGGGUGAUCGGCCACACUGGAACUGAGACACGGUCCAGACUCCUACGGGAGGCAGCAGUAGGGAAUCUUCCGCAAUGGGCGAAAGCCUGACGGAGCAACGCCGCGUGAGUGAUGAAGGUCUUCGGAUCGUAAAACUCUGUUAUUAGGGAAGAACAAAUGUGUAAGUAACUAUGCACGUCUUGACGGUACCUAAUCAGAAAGCCACGGCUAACUACGUG